GGCCUCACACAAGCGGUGGAGGAUGUGGCUUAAUUCGAGGCUACGCGAAGAACCUUACCUAGACUUAACAUGUUUGAGAAUCUCUGUGAAAGCAGAGAGUGCCUUUUCGGGGAACUCUUACGUAGGUGCUGCAUGGCUGUCGUCAGCUCGUGUCGUGAGAUGUCGGGUUUAAGUCCCUUAACGAGCGAAACCCUUAUCUUCAGUUGCCAGCGAGUAAUGUCGGGGACUCUGGAGAGACUGCCGGUGUUAAACCGGAGGAAGGUGGGGAUGACGUCAAGUCCUCAUGGCCUUUAUGUCUAGGGCUGCACACGUCCUACAAUGCAACGUACAAAGGCGACGCGAAAUCGCGAGAUCAAGCAAA
rnacentral:rRNA from 1 species